UCUUGCUGGUUCUUUAAAUAGCUGUAUUUACUUAUUUUCCACUAGGUUCCAAUUGCUGAAACAAUCUCAUUUUAGUUGGCUUCCAGCUCUUCAUAAAUUGUUAAGUUGCAAAACAUCCUAGAGAAAUAUCAGAUCUAGUGACAUCAGUCUUUACUGCUUGAAAUUCUUUCACCCAAGACUCCGAGAGAUACUAAUCAUGUUUGCAAAUUCAAAUUUGGUGCUAGAUGCAGACCUGGUUUUGUUUUGUUGCUUCUUACUGUCUGAUAUUCAUUCACCUGAAAGAUACUGAUCAGGUUUGCCAAUAGAAUUUUUGUGCUAAUUGCUGACCUAAUUUGGUUUGAUUGCCUGAUAAAAGUUAAUAUACUUGGAUCAAUAUACUUUGCAUUCAAAAUGUUCUGAUUGCCUCGAGUACUGUCUACCAUAUAAAUCUUUGAUUGCUGAAGUUGGGGAUGAUAGAAUUGUAUUAUAUGGUGUAGAAUUAUAGCUACCACAGCUGGAGUUAGUCACACAUCUCGGCAUUGUUAAUUCUUUUGGAGCGCUGCAGAGUAAUCCUUAAUCUUUGCCUAUGAACGAUCAUCUUUGCAAGCUGUUCUAUUCUUGUAAUGUGUUUACAGUUUUAGUUUAGCAGAUUACAGUCAUUACGGGUUGGUUGUCUGCAUAUUGUAUACCAAGUUAUUGUAUUAUUUGUUUUUUAGGUAAGCCACCCUUUUUUUCUCUUUGCAAAAAUGCUUCAUUAUAGAGUUCUAAAGUUGAGUACUUGGUUAAUCACACGAACUCCGUGUGUUAGUACUCUAUGAUUCAAUUUCAUUUUCAGAAUGUUGGUAUGGUACAUGCUUAACUAACAAAAUGUUUUGUUACCAUGGCAACAAGCAUUUGUCCUUUGUGCCAAACAAGCAAAGAAAGUUUCAUAUUGUCCUUAUUGAAUUGUGUUGUUUCGGUCGAUAUUAAUCUUUUGGUCGAUUUAUGAGUACUGGAAAUAAUCUUUUCAUCUUUGUAGGCGAAAAUAAUCAACCAUGGUGUUUGCCCGGUGCAUAGAGUUAAAUGACAUGCAUAUAGCCCCUACAAUACAAUGGCAUGGACUCUUAGACACAACUUGAGAUAUAAUUUCUAAAUUUAAAUGUAACUAUCAAACAUUCUGCACCUCUCUUGUUUUAUUAUCAAGGGAUCAGACAAUGACUCCUAUGUAUCAAAGCCAUUUGCCCAUUUGUGUUUUGUUUCCUGA